rnacentral:rRNA from 1 species
UACCCCCUACGGGACGCAGCAGUAGGGAAUUUUCGUCAAUGGGCGCAAGCCUGAACGAGCAAUGCCGCGUGAACGAGGAAGGUCUUCGGAUCGUAAAGUUCUGUUGAAGGGGAAAAAGAGCGGAGAGAGGAAAUGAACUCCGAUUGAUAUUACCCUUCGAGGAAGUCACGGCUAACUCCGUGCCAGCAGCCGCGGUAAUACGGAGGAUGCGAGCGUUAUCCGGAUUUAUUGGGUUUAAAGGGUGCGUAGGCGGUCCGUUAAGUCAGCGGUAAAAUUGCGGGGCUCAACCCCGUCGAGCCGUUGAA